rnacentral:rRNA from 1 species
GACGAACGCUGGCGGCGUGCUUAACACAUGCAAGUCGAACGGAAAGGCCCUGCUUUUGUGGGGUGCUCGAGUGGCGAACGGGUGAGUAACACGUGAGUAACCUGCCCUUGACUUUGGGAUAACUUCAGGAAACUGGGGCUAAUACCGGAUAGGAGCUCCUGUCGCAUGGUGGGGGUUGGAAAGUUUAGACGGAUGGGGAUGGACUCGCGGCUUAUCAGCUUGUUGGUGGGGCAGUGGCUUACCAAGGCUUUGACGGGUAGCCGGCCUGAGAGGGUGAGCGGCCACAUAAGGAGUGAGAUACGGCGCCGACUCCUACGGGAGGCAGCAGUGGGGAAAAUUGCACAAUGGGCGGAAGCCUGAUGCAGCAACGCCGCGUGCGGGAUGACGGCCUUCGGGUUGUAAACCGCUUUCGCCUGUGACGAAGCGAGAGUGACGGUAAUGGGUAAAGAAGCACCGGCUAACUACGUG